AACGAACGCUGGCGGCAUGCCUAACACAUGCAAGUCGAACGAGACCUUCGGGUCUAGUGGCGCACGGGUGCGUAACGCGUGGGAAUCUGCCCUUGGGUUCGGAAUAACUCAGAGAAAUUUGAGCUAAUACCGGAUGAUGACGUAAGUCCAAAGAUUUAUCGCCCAAGGAUGAGCCCGCGUAAGAUUAGCUUGUUGGUAGGGUAAUGGCCUACCAAGGCGACGAUCUUUAGCUGGUCUGAGAGGAUGAUCAGCCACACUGGGACUGAGACACGGCCCAGACUCCUACGGGAGGCAGCAGUGGGGAAUAUUGGACAAUGGGCGAAAGCCUGAUCCAGCAAGUGCCGCGUGAGUGAUGAAGGCCUUAGGGUGUAAAGCUCUUUUACCAGGGAUGAUAAUGACAGUACCUGG
rnacentral:rRNA from 1 species